UACGUAGGGGGCAAGCGUUAUCCGGAUUUACUGGGUGUAAAGGGCGUGUAGCCGGGUUGGCAAGUCAGAUGUGAAAACUAUGGGCUCAACUCAUAACGUGCAUUUGAAACUGUUGAUCUUGAGUAUCGGGGAGGCAAUCGGAAUUCCUAGUGUAGCGGUGAAAUGCGUAGAUAUUAGGAGGAACACCAGUGGCGAGGGCGGAUUGCUGGACGACAACUGACGGUGAGGCGCGAAAGCGUGGGGAGCAAAC
rnacentral:rRNA from 1 species